AUUGAACGCUGGCGGCAGGCUUAACACAUGCAAGUCGAGCGGGGGAAGGUAGCUUGCUACUGGACCUAGCGGCGGACGGGUGAGUAAUGCUUAGGAAUCUGCCUAUUAGUGGGGGACAACAUCUCGAAAGGGAUGCUCAUACCGCAUACGUCCUACGGGAGCAAGCAGGGGAUCUUCGGACCUUGCGCUACUAGAUGAGCCUAAGUCGGAUUAGCGAGUUGGUGGGGUAAAGGCCUACCAAGGGGACGAUCUGCAGCGGGUCUGAGAGGAUGAUCCGCCACACUGGGACUGAGACACGGCCCAGACUCAUACGGGAGGCAGCAGUGGGGAAUAUUGGACAAUGGGGGGAACCCUGAUCCAGCCAUGCCGCGUGUGUGAAGAAGGCCUUAUGGUUGUAAAGCACUUUAAGCGAGGAGGAGGCUACUCUAGUUAAUACCUAGGGAUAGUGGACGUUACUCGCAGAAUAAGCACCGGCUAACUCUGUGCCAGCCGCCGCGGUAA
rnacentral:rRNA from 1 species